GAUGAACGCUGGCGGCGUGCCUAAUACAUGCAAGUCGAGCGAACAGACGAGGAGCUUGCUCCUCUGACGUUAGCGGCGGACGGGUGAGUAACACGUGGAUAACCUACCUAUAAGACUGGGAUAACUUCGGGAAACCGGAGCUAAUACCGGAUAAUAUAUUGAACCGCAUGGUUCAAUAGUGAAAGACGGUUUUGCUGUCACUUAUAGAUGGAUCCGCGCCGCAUUAGCUAGUUGGUAAGGUAACGGCUUACCAAGGCAACGAUGUGUAGCCGACCUGAGAGGGUGAUCGGGCACACUGGAACUGAGACACGGGCCAGACUCCUACGGGAGGCAGCAGUAGGGAAUCUUCCGCAAUGGGCGAAAGCCUGACGGAGCAACGCCGCGGGAGUGAUGAAGGUCUUCGGAUCGGAAAACUCUGUUAUUAGGGAAGAACAAAUGUGUAAGUAACUAUGCACGUCUUGACGGUACCUAAUCAGAAAGCCACGGCUAACUACGUG
rnacentral:rRNA from 1 species